UAAACUCUGGGAGUUGGUGAUGGACAGGGAUGCCUGGUGUGCUGCAGUCCAUGGGGUCGCAAAGAGUCAGACUCGACUGAGUGACUGAACUGAAAUGUUGGCACCUGGCCUUCCUGUCCCUCUUUGAUUGUCUCUUCUCCUUGGUCCUUCCCCUCUUCCUCCCAACUUUCCUUCUAAGAUAUGGUUCCUGGACUUUUUUUUUUAUCUUCUUGAAAGCAUCUUUGGAUAGAAUUCUGCUUGCCACAGUCCUCCCUGUGUUUGUGUUUGUGCGUGUUCUCAAGGAGUCUGCUGUGGACAGGGGCCUGUGUCUUCUGUGUUCAGAAUGGACACGCCAUUCAGAAAGGCACCCUUUGUAGACACCUAGCAGCCACAUUUGCUGCCCGCGUUGAGCUUAGGGCUGUUAACCCCCUGGGUGCUCUUGUCCAGGCCUAGUUUUCCCCGGCCAGGUGAGGACCGUAAUUUCAGCCCCCUGCAGUGGACUCACCACCAGCCCUGGUGGGGCCUGGGGAGUUCACCCUCCCAGCAUAAAAGACCUUCUCGUGGACCGUCCCCCAGGCCUCUACCAGCCGGAAGGGCACCAAGCAGGGGGCGCUUCAGCCAGGAGAUCCAUGCGGGGUUACUGUUCACAAGUGAAAGGAAAGGUCUGUGCGCUCACACCCCACCCUCCGGGCCCAGUCUUCUCCCAUCAGUUUCCCUGCACAAAGAAUCAUUUUGGCAGCAAAACCAGAGGCAGAAAAAUCUGAAGAGGGCCCCGAAAGGCACAUUUCAGUUUUGUUUUCUCCCUCUCGAGCUGCCGGAGAUCUGAGUUAUAAAACAAGCGCUGGCGCCCCACCCACGUCGUGCACGGAUGAAAACAUCCCCCACCCCCACCCUCGUCGCGCACAGAUGUUUCCUCUUAGCUCCGCUGGCCUUGGUCAACAGAAACGUGCCCCGCCUAUGGAGCAGAGAACUUUCCACACUCUGUUCAAAGGUGGGUUCUUUACCACUAGCACUACCUGGGAAGCCCAGAAGCAGUCUGUAGAUGUCCAUUAUAUCCAGAUUGAUGCUGUUGCUGCGCAGCCCCACUGUUAAUGCUCCAUCACGGGCAGCCAACCAGUGCCAGAGGAAGAGGAACAGGCAGAUCGCCACCUCGCUGGCAGCACUGUGGUGGCACCCCUGAGGACUCUCACUG